UACGUAGGGGGCAAGCGUCGUCCGGAUUCAUUGGGCGUAAAGAGCGUGUAGGCGGCCAGGUAGGUCGGCUGUGAAAACUGGAGGCUCAACCUUCAGAGGUCGACCGAAACCAUCUGGCUAGAGUCCGGGAGAGGAGAGUGGAAUUCCUGGUGUAGCGGUGAAAUGCGCAGAUAUCAGGAAGAACACCCGUGGCGAAAGCGGCUCUCUGGAACGGUACUGACGCUGAGACGCGAAAGCGUGGGGAGCGAACAGG
rnacentral:rRNA from 1 species